UACGAAGGGGGCUAGCGUUGCUCGGAAUCACUGGGCGUAAAGGGCGCGUAGGCGGACUCUUAAGUCGGGGGUGAAAGCCCAGGGCUCAACCCUGGAAUUGCCUUCGAUACUGAGAGUCUUGAGUUCGGAAGAGGUUGGUGGAACUGCGAGUGUAGAGGUGAAAUUCGUAGAUAUUCGCAAGAACACCAGUGGCGAAGGCGGCGACCUGGUCCGAUACUGACGCUGAGGCGCGAAAGCGUGGGGAGCAAACAGG
rnacentral:rRNA from 1 species